CGGUUACUCGGUAGUAGCCAAUAGAGGAGUACAGUCAAGCUUAUUCACAGCUAAUCAAAGCAGAAACGCAAAAUAACAGCGCUAACAACUAAACAUAGGGGCAGCUCGCCUCAUUAUUGCCAAACAUGGAGAACUGGAGUCAAUAUUGGACCAGUUCACAUUAAAAUGCCAACAGUCAUUCCCAAUGCCUAGAAAAGUUAACACGGAAAUCAAAAGAACCAAGCAGUCCGAUAUUCACCAAGGAGACAUCUCGAAUCCAACCACACUAACCCGAUACAUUAUACUUAAAAAGAACUUGGCAAAAGUAGAACUAGAGUCAAUAAACCAAAUAAUUUUUUUGUUUUGUUUUGUUUUUUUUUUUUUUUUUUGGUUUUUUUUUUUUUUGUUUACUAAAUUGUCACAUAGGAUUAAAACUAGAAUUAAUAGUCACAAAGAAAGAAAAAUAAACAACUAGAAUUAAAACUAAAAACUAAUAAAACUAGAAACUAUUAAAAACUAAGAACUAAAACUGAAAACUAAAAAUUACUAAGAAAUAAAAACUACUAAAAACGGAAAACACCAGCACCACUUUAGACCCAUUCCCCCCACACCUAUAGGACACAUUGUCCUCAAUGUGACAAAUAGAAAGCAAAAGUGAGAGGGAAAAGGACCAAACUUCCCUGAAAUCGGGUCAAAACAGUAGCGGCGCGCGACUCCAGCGUGGAUGGCGGCGGCUCGGGUGGAUGGCGGACGCGGACUGGGCAGCGGCGGCGGCGCUCGCGUCGGCGUGCUGGCAGCUUGGGCUGGUGUGGCCUUGGGAGGCAGCGGCGUGCUGGCAGAUGGGAGAAAGGGAUGGCGCGGCUGAGCUCAGUAGCUGCACGUGAGGGAGAUGGCGGCGACGAUGGAUCUGCUGGGUGAGAGGGGGAAUGGGUCUACUGGUUGCGGCGGCUGCUACGCGCGGUUGUGGGUCGGCUGCGGUGAGAAAGAGCUGGUGGGUCGGCGGCGCAGGCUUGUGGCGACUGGUGGAGCUCGAUGCGAGGGGGACAGCGGCGGCGGUGGCAGUAAAUGGAAGCGUGGCGGCAUGCGCAGAGAGCAGGGGAGCAGCAAAACAGCGGAGAAGAAAGAAAAAGGGAAAGAAAGAAGAAGAAAGAAAGAAAAAGAAAGGAAAGAAAGAGAAGAAAAGAAGGAAAAAAAAAAAAGAAAUUUUUUUUUAUUUUUAAUUUAUUAUUACUAAUAUUAUUAUAUAUAUAUUUUAUUUAUUUAUUUUUUUUUAUUUUUAUUCUUUUUUUUUGUUUUGUUAUUAUUUGAAUAACUGAAAUAAUAAUAAUAGUUUUUCUAUAUUUUUUUCAUUUUUUUUAUUUGAAUCCUUACCUUUCCCGCGAACGUGACGCGGGCACGUCAUAAGGCCAAGAGAGCUCCCAGAAGUUUCAGAAUUUUCUGAUCGUGAGCAUCCUGCACAUCACCACGCGGGCACGUCAUGAUGGCAGGAGAGCUCCCAGAAUUUUCAGAAAUUCCUGAUCGUGAACGUCCUGCACAUCACCACGCGGGCACGUCAUGAUGGCAGGAGAGCUCCCAGAAGUUUCAGAAUUUCCUGAUCGUGAGCAUCCUGCACAUCACCACGCGGGCACGUCAUAACUGAAGGUCGCCUACAAACCAGCAAAAACGAAAACUAACACCCAAAAUCAGUCAAGUUGAAGGAAAACAGAUUCAAACAAUGACAGGAAACCAAUAAACAAUUAAAAGAAACAAUUGGGUUGCCUCCCAAUGAGCGCUUUUCUUUAAUGUCUUUGGCUAGACAUUGUCCAAAAAUUUCCUUAAACUAAGCAAGUAGGAUCCUCCAAGUGCAUCACCUCCACCCGUUCAGUUGGAGCCCCUUCAUAAUACGGUUUGAGACGAUGACCAUUCACUACAAAUUUCUUCUCAGCUUUCAAACUUUGGAUCUCGACUGCACCAUAAUGGAAGACAUUAGUCACAACAAAAGGGCCAAUCCAACGAGAACGUAAUUUACCUGGAAAUAACUGCAAUUUGGAGUGGUAUAGCAGAACUUUUUGCCCACACUCGAAAGUCUUCCUUGAGAUCUGUUGGUCAUGAAAAAUUUUAUUUUUCUCCUUAUAAAUUACCGCAUUCUCAUAAGCUUCAUUGCGAAUCUCCUCCAACUCCUGUAAUUGUAACUUCCUGUGGAUUCCGCCCUCCUCAAUAUCCAUAUUGCAUUGCUUAACUGCCCAAAAUGCUUUAUGCUCGAACUCUACUGGAAGAUGACACGGCUUACCAAAUACCAACCUAUAGGGAGACAUCCCUAUAGGUGUCUUGUAUGCCGUCCGAUAGGCCCAAAGUGCGUCCUUCAACCUGUGGCUCCAAUCUUUCCUAUCAGGGCGCACCAUUUUCUCCAAGAUGGACUUAAUCUCCCGAUUCGACACCUCCGCUUGACCAUUGGUCUGAGGGUGGUAUGACGUUGAGACCCUGUGGAGUACACCAUACUUGCGAAACAACGCAGCUAUGGUUUUGUUGCAAAAGUGCGUUCCCCUGUCACUGACAAUAGCUCUUGGCAUUCCAAAUCGCACAAAAAUAUUAGACCUGAUAAAAUCUGUAACCACUUUCGAGUCAUUAGUUCGAGUGGCCUUAGCCUCCACCCAUUUAGACACAUAAUCAACUGCCAGCAAAAUAUACAGAAAACCAAAUGAAGUAGGAAAAGGCCCCAUGAAAUCUAUACCCCAGACAUCAAAAAUUUCUACAAAAAUCAUCGGGACUUGGGGCAUAUGAUCUUUACGGGCUAUAUUACCUACCCUUUGACAGCGAUCACAUGACUUACAAAACACAUAGGCAUCCUUAAACAAUGAAGGCCAAUAAAAUCCACUUUCUAAAACCUUAUGAGCAGUUCUCUUGGGUCCAAAAUGACCUCCACAGGCAAAAGUAUGACAAAAAGUUAAAAUCGAUUGAAAUUCCAUUUCACUUACACAUCUCCUCAUCACCUGAUCUGCACAUCUCUUCCAUAAGUAUGGGUCAUCCCAGAUGAAAUACUUGGCGUCGCUCUUCAAUUUAUCCCUCUUCGAUUUUUGCCAACCUGCAGGAAAAUUACCAGUUACCAAAUAAUUGACUAAAUCAGCAUACCAAGGCAACUGAGAAUUUAAAAAAAAUAAGUGCUCUUCAGGGAAUGCAUCCCUCAAUGGUUCAUUAUCAUCUCCAACGGGUAUACGACUCAGAUGGUCAGCUACUAAAUUCUCUGAGCCUCUUUUAUCCCUUAUUUCCAGGUCAAAUUCCUGUAGUAGCAAUAUCCACCUGAUGAGCCUCGGUUUUGCAUCUUUCUUGGUCAUCAGGUACCUUAAUGCUGCAUGAUCAGAAAAUACAAUCACUUUAGCACCUAACAGAUAUGACCUGAACUUUUCUAGAGCAAAAAUUACUGCAAGAAGCUCCUUCUCAGUGGUGGAGUAAUUCAACUGGGCUCCAUUCAAUGCUCGGGAUGCAUAGUAGAUGACGUGAGCUGCCUUCCCUACUCUUUGCCCCAGUACAGCCCCAACAGCAUGAUCACUGGCAUCGCACAUGAUCUCAAAUGGCAACCUCCAAUCGGGGGGCUGGAUGAUUGGGGGUGAAGUCAACAAUUCCUUCAGCUUGUCAAAGGCUCUCUCACACUUGUCAUCAAACUCGAAGGCUACAUCCUUUUGCAAGAGUUGGAACAACGGGGCCCCAAUUUUUGAAAAAUCCUUGAUGAACCUUCGAUAAAAACCUGCAUGCCCAAGAAAAGAACGCACCUCCCGCACAUUUGCGGGGUAAGGUAAUGCAGAAAUAACGUCUAUUUUAGCUCUGUCAACUUCAAUGCCCUUAGAUGAUACAAUAUGACCCAAGACUAUCCCGUGUUCAACCAUAAAAUGACAUUUUUCCCAAUUAAGCACGAGAUUAGUCUCUAUACACCUUAUCAGGAUCAAUUUCAGGUUAUCUAGACACGUAUCAAAACUAUAACCAUAUACACUGAAAUCAUCCAUGAAAACUUCAAUAAUUUUCUCCACAUAUUCAGAAAAAAUACUUACCAUACAUCGUUGGAAAGUCGCAGGUGCAUUGCACAACCCAAAUGGCAUUCGUCUGUAGGCAAAGGUCCCGAACGGGCACGUGAAGGUUGUCUUCUCUUGAUCCUCUGGGGCAAUUGCUAUCUGAAAGUAUCCUGAAAAUCCAUCCAAAAAGCAAUAAUAAGCCUUACCAGCUAAACGUUCAACCAUUUGGUCAAUGAAAGGGAGAGGGAAGUGGUCCUUUUUAGUGACGGCGUUCAGCCAACGGUAGUCUAUACACUGCCUCCAUCCAGUGGGUUUGCGCACUGGCACGAGCUCACCCGUUUGGUUGGCUUCUACCGUUACUCCUGCCUUCUUCGGGACUACCUGAACCGGACUCACCCAAGGGCUAUCAGAUAUUGCAAAGAUGAUCCCCACAUCUAGCAGUUUUAGAAUCUCUUUCUUUACAACUUCCAUCAUGAGGGGGUUGAGCCUUCUUUGAGCCUGCCUAACAGGUUUGGCAUCGUCUUCUAGCCUAAUCCGGUGCAUACAGAUGGCCGGGCUUAUCCCCUUAAUGUCUGCGAUUGUCCAGCCUAUCGCCUCUUUAUGUUCCCGAAGGACCCGGAUCAAUUUCUCUUCCUGGAUUUUUGACAGUGCCGACGAAAUAAUCACCGGGAGUGUCUCAUUAUCACCCAAAUAUGCAUAUCUCAGGUGCUCUGGUAGAGGUUUCAACUCCAGUACAGGUGCCUGCACCACAGAUGGCAAUACCCUCUGAUGAGCCUCGGGAGUAAAAAUAGGUAAGACUUCAUACCUUUUCCUGGUGGUCUGCAAUGAGUGUAAUGCACCUAUUGUGCAUUUUAAAUCCUCACUCCACUCCACCUGAGGAGUUGUCUCCAACUCGAGGUGCUUGGUUAAAGCCACCUCCAACUCAUCCCUGCCAUCAGUUUCAAACACUUCCUGCACUACAGGAUCAAUAGCACUCACAGAGAAAACUGAGCUAAAGUUGGAGUUCGAGGGGUAUUUCAUAGUAUCAAAAAUAUUAAAAUGCACAAUUUCCCCAUCAAACUCCAUGGACAAGGUACCCUUAUUAACAUCAAUUUUCGUCUGUGCAGUGCUCAUAAAAGGUCUACCCAAUAACAAAGGUGAGGGAUCAGGGGAGUGAUCAUCAUCCAUAUCCAGUACAUAAAAAUCAGCUGGAAACACCAAAUCAUUAACUUUUACCAAUACAUCUUCAACCAACCCAUCAGGAUAUGCAUUAGUUCGGUCAGCUAAUUGAAUGAUAAUUUCAGUUUCUUUUAAUGGACCUAAUUUUAGAGAAGCAUAGAUAGACUUAGGCAUGACAUUAAUUGAUGCUCCCAGAUCCAACAUGGCCCUUCUGAUCACAGUAUUACCUAUCCUACAGGGAAUAGUAAACAUACCUGGGUCCCCGCACUUUGGUGGGAGCUUUCUCUGCAGGACCGCUGACACAUUCUCCCCAACAAUAACCCGUUCAUCCCCUCUCAAUCGCCUUCGGUUGACACACAAGUCCCUUAGGAACUUGGCAUAUUUUGGUACUUGUUUGAUGGCGUCUAAGAGGGGGAUAUUUAUCUCAACCUUGCGAAAAACCUCCAAGAUUUCCCUCUCCUUAUCCUGCUUCUUUGAUUUUUCCAACCUGUUAGGAAAAGGAGGCGGGUUAGUCCUAACUGUAAUUGUUGGGUCAGGAAGUACCUGUGGAUCUGCACCAUUGCUGUCCUCCCUUUCGAGCUCACUUUCGAUCUUCUGUUCAUCCUUGUCCUUGGGGAUCACAGGCUCAGGCCCUUGAACUUCCUUGCCACUCCUCAAGGUCAUGGCGCUCACAUUCUUCGGGUUCAACUCAGGUUGAGAUGGCAAUUUACCUUGAUUUUGGGCAUCCAAGCGGUUGAUUGUUGUGGCCAGUUGACUUAUCUGAUUCCUUAUGUCCUGCAUUUCGGAGUCCGUCCUUUGCUGAUGUUGCAUAAUGGUUGCCUCCGUCCUUUGCUGAUUUUGCAUAAUAGUUGCCUCUGUCCUUUGCUGAUUUUGCGCCAUGGUUGUCAUCAUUUGUUUCAUCAUCUCCUCCAUAGAUGAACCGGAUUGAGGGGGCGGAGGUGGUCGGGGUUGGUAUUGCUGCUGGUACCCUGGUGGCUUAUUUGGCACAAAGCUAGACUGCCUGUUCGGUGUAAAGUUGGGUUGCAUAUUCCCUCCAUAACUGAGGUUGGGAUGAUCUCUCCACCCGGGGUUGUAGGUGCUUGAGUAAGGGUCGUACUGCUUCCUUGGCGCGGGCGCGUGGUCAGCCAUGUUCACCUGUUCUGCAGUUUCUUCCUGAAUCAUUGGGCACAUGUCUGCAGAGUGGCCUAUACCAGUGCAAAUCCCGCAUACCCUGGCUUGUGAUGCAUUUCUCACAGCCUGUUGCCUAACAAAAGCAGUCAACUCAUUUAGCUGCUGCUGCACAGAGGGUGUCUCUAUCUCAUUCACCCUACGUAUUGGAACAUCCUCUCUUGUACUGAAUUGCUGUGAGUUCUCUGCCAUCCCCUCUAUUAACUCCCGUGCUUCCUGAGGGGUUUUGUUCACCAGUGCCCCUCCACUUGCAGCAUCAAUGAUGCUCCUGUCUCUAAAAAUGAGUCCCUCAUAAAAAAAUUGUAUGAUCAACUGCUCACUUAUUUGGUGUUGGGGGCACCUGCGCAACAAGUUUUUAUACCGUUCCCAAUACUCGUAAAGUGACUCCGCUGGAUGCUGUUUGAUCCCACAAAUUUCUUUCCUUAGACUUGCAGCCCUGGAUGCAGGAAAAUAUUUAUCCAAAAAUUUUUUCAUCAAUUGGCCCCACGUGGUGAUGCUACCUGGUGACAGGUAGUACAGCCAGUCCUUCGCAGAAUCUUUCAAGGAGAAGGGGAAUGCCCUCAUUUUUAUCUGCUCUUCUGUGAUUCCCGGGGGUUUCAUACUGUUGCAAACAACAUCAAACUCCUGCAGAUGCUUAUACGGCUCUUCACCUGGUAAACCAUGAAAAGAGGGUAAAAGCUGAAUCAGACCAGAUUUUAGUUCAAAUGGAAUGUUGUCAUUUAAAGCGGGGAAAGUAAUGCACAAAGGCUGCUGAGUUAAAUCAGGAGCAGCCAACUCCCUUAAUGUUUGUGCAUUAGCCAUGGUUCCUUCCUCCUGGUCAGAGUCACUUGAAGUGUCACCAAACGAAUCUGUUGGUUCAACUUCUGACUCGGGUCUUUGAGAUGUAGCCCUGGAGUGCUCUUCUCUGAGUUGUCUGGUUUCCUUUCUCGUUCUACGCGCGGUCUUCUCUAUCUCGUGGUCAAAAAUCAAAUCACCUGUACGAGAAGAUCGAGGCAUACACUAGAAGAAGACCAGAAAAUUAGGACAAAAUUGAAUUUAAAAAGAAACAAAUAAUAACGCCAGUCCCCGGCAACGGCGCCAAAAAUUGACAGGUCGUCAGCCUGUGCAAUAAUAAUAAUAAAAAUAGAACCUAUCUACCACCAAAAGCAGUCAAUAAUUAAUCCUAGGUACUGGAGCAGGGACUCUAGGUGUGCAAUGGGUUACUUGAUUCACCCUAUUCCCGAAGAGUUUGCUUAACCCGAUAUACCAGAAUUCAUUAAUUGACAAAAAUUACUAAAUAGUAGACAGUGGCAAGUAGGGUCGUCUCCUCAGGGACUGGAGAUAUCUGUCUCUUUCAAAGUCCAAUUGAUAAAGGGGGAUUUCACCGGAAUGCAACUAAAAACAAUUAAACAAUUUAACUAAAAAUGAAUAAAUAACUAGCGCAAAUAUAGCAGGAAUUUAAUCAGGAAUAAAUAAAUUCUAGUCAAGGAUACAACUACUCAGGCACAGUCCAUUUAUCCGAUCAUUGAUGCAGGAGAGGUUCACUUAAUGUAUUAAUAGGCUAGUUAUAGUCUGACAACCAAUUUUUCCUUAAGUUAUAGGUGACCAAGGUACGACCAUUAAUCACCCCUAACCAGAAAAGUACUCCUAGGUACGACCGUAGGAAUUAAUUUUCUAAUUGCAUUAAUAACCAGAAAAACCUAGCCCUAAUCAAUAACACGCUACGAGGGUUAUUUAAAUUAGAUUGCACAUUCCUCUAAUGUGUAAACACACCAGUUGCCACUAAUAUUAAUCAAUCAAACCAUUACGGAUUUAAUUGACUAAAUUGGCACGAGAUUAAUAAAUCAAGUUGAACAUCGGGCCCUUGACAUCCAAUUCAUAAAAUAAUCCCAUGAAAAUUAAAUCAGACAACAUGCAAAUAUUAAUAGAUAAAGGAACACGUGAAAACUAAUUAGAUCUCACAGAUUUUCGGGACUGCGCCGUCGAGUUGACCCUUGACUAGAUGAAAGACUUAGCCACGCCGCAUAAUUAAAUCACCACACGAGUUAAUAAAUUGCGAAGGCAUCGUUUUGUACUAAGAAAUAAGGAAUGAAGGAGGUUUUCCCCGUUGGGGAAUAUUGUCAAGCACCUGGCGUGUGUCAGAGGCCAGUCCAAGGAAAAGAAAGAAAAAAACUAAACUAAAGACUAGGCUAAAAAGCUAAACUAAAAGCGGUCCCUCGCCUCUGUACGUUAGCUCCCUAUUUAAAGCCAAAGGAAAGAUAUCCAGUGGUCCCC
rnacentral:lncRNA from 1 species